GACGGAGGAUGCAAGCGUUAUCCGGAAUGAUUGGGCGUAAAGCGUCCGCAGGUGGCAGUUCAAGUCUGCUGUCAAAGACCGGGGCUUAACUUCGGAAAGGCAGUGGAACUGAACAGCUAGAGUAUGGUAGGGGCAGAGGGAAUUCCUGGUGUAGCGGUGAAAUGCGUAGAUAUCAGGAGGAACACCGGUGGCGAAGGCGGGUCUCUGGGCCGAUACUGACGCUGAGGAGCGAAAGCGUGGGGAGCGAACAGG
rnacentral:rRNA from 1 species